CUUCGAGGGACAGGUCAGGACGGUGCCCUUGGCAUGAACGGUGGGCAUUGCUGGCCCUCAAUGCCUACCUUCUCAGGUAAGAACCAAGCCACAUCUACAGGGCUGCAGGCUGGCUCGUGGACUGUUGUACCAGCUCAUCGGCAGAGAGAGCCUUUCGCAUGGUGGAUCUGUCCUCUCAGCAGCACAUGUGAAGACCCCUGAGACCUUGAGCCUCACCAGGUAUCGUCAGGCACCAUGGCAGAGUGUCUCUGAGGAACCUAGAACACAAGCAAAGCCAAGUUUCCAUCGCAAACUU
rnacentral:lncRNA from 1 species